CCACCUUCAAAUAUAAUUCAACACUCUCUUAGGCUUAAUAAACACUAUUAUGACGUGCAAACAUUCCGCAAGGCAGGUUUCUCAGCCUUGGCACUACUGACAUCCUGGGAUGAGUAAUUCUUUGCUGUAUAGGGCUGCAGUGCAUUGGAAGAUAUUUAACAUCAUUCCUGACCUCUAUCCAGUAGUUGCGAAUAGUACUUUCCUCACUCCAGUUGUCUCUAGACAUUGCAAAAUGCUGAGGGGCAAAUAGCCUCCCAAUAAGAAGGAGUACUCUGAGGAUACCAGGAACAAUCUACAUAGGACCUCAAGGACUUUGAAUCUAAUGUUCUACAUCUGUAGGAUGGAGAUGAUGCUUCCAAAGACUCUGAAUAUAAAGGAAAGUUCCCAGCACAUGCCAGCAUGCAGUGAUGCUCGACUUCUCUUUUCCAGGCUAAGUAAUCCCAGGUCCUUGUUGUCUGAUGAAUUCACAUCUACCCUCGAUAAACUUCUGAGAUUAGAGGCAGAGGCAGCAGCUGCAAACCUGUGCUCCGGAGCUACACAGUGCAGCUUUAGCACCUCCUGACUCACCACCCCCCACGUGGCCACUGCUGAAUUAUGUGCAUUUUAAUGAGGAGAUUGAUGUCACUUUCCUUUCUUCCUCCCUCUCCAACACAAUUUUAUUGAGUGCCUGUUAUGUUCCAGACACUUCUAAAAGCUAGGUGUAAAAUGAGAUUUUUAAAAACUGUGUUUUCAUUUUUCUACGAGUAUGUAUUUCUUUCACAAUCAGACAAUAAAAAUACAUAUUGUUUUAAAAGCUGAUCUUAA
rnacentral:lncRNA from 13 species